GGCGUGGUGGCCGAGUGGUUUAAGGCAGCGGUCUUGAAAACCGCCAACGGGGCAACUCGUUCGUGAGUUCGAAUCUCACCCACGCCG
rnacentral:tRNA from 1 species